GAAUUAGGAGCAUUAUGGAGACCUAGCUCCUGCCUUCCUAUUCCCCACCUCCUCCCUCACCACCUCUUCCGAUUCGCAGUCUUUUAGGUUUACUGCGGCACAUCGGACCGGCAGGCUCUCUGGACUGGCCAAGCCCUUUCUUGCUCUACUCCUUCUGCCUGGGUGAGCCACCACACCCGCACCUGGCUAUUCACUGAAAGUCAGCUCGGCUAUCUCCUCCUCUGGAAACCGUUCUCCUGUCACCACCAGUCUGGUCACCACAUGCUCCCAUAGGCUCUCUAGGCUCGACCAACUUCAUCACCCGUCUGCCUCACUCUGUUGGGAGUUCCAUAGGUGGCGAGCUGGCUCAGAGGUCAACUAUGAGCUGAUCCAGAAAUGAAGACCCAUCAAACAGCCACGGAAACAGACAGAAGCUGAAGGCAGACCCACACCUUCCCUCUGGCUUCUGCCGUUGGAGACCCAGAAAGUCUGGCGAAGGGAAACAAGGUGUGGAAAAACAAGAGAAGAAAGCUGUUGUACUUCUGCCUGUCUCCACAAGGACCCCACCUGUACGUAGGAAAGAUGGACAAGACUGUAAAGUAACUUGAAGAUAGAGACUGUGUGUGGAUUUCUAUGGCUUCAGUGGCACCAAACACAGCACUGUGAUUUAAAGAGGAUGUUCAGCAAGAUUUCUUAAGGAAACGACACUCAAGGCUAGCGAUGUGCAGUGUGAUACUCUCGCAAUCUGGGCAGCAGCAUCAAGCCGCAGCUGUCAAUCAGCCACGCCAUCACGAGGGUAAAGGCGAUACUCUCCCAUGGACUGUGAUGCAGAUGAUUCUGUUCAACUGGAGGCCAGUGUGAGGAGAACCAUCCAAAGCAGUGGGGGACCAGGAGGUGGGUCCCCUAGGAUGAGGAGGCAUUCUGAAUAAACUCUGUGCUGUGUACCUGCAUUUUGGCUGUGAGCUGCCACAUGAGGUCAGGUGUAGAAUUUUUCACUUGAGGUGCCAUGUUAAUGUUCCGAAAGUUCUGGAUUUUGGAGCAUUUCAGACUUUGGAUGUUGAGAUUAGGGGUGCUCAACCUGUUCUAAGCAGACGGAUGGCUACAGUAAGGCUGUUCCGAAGCUUGGCAAUGUCUUCACCUUUUAAGAGGAAGAAUCCUAAUGGGUGAGGGUAACUCAUCCAAGUCCCGGAAACACAGAGCUGAAGAGGCUCAGGAAGUCUCUAAGUCCAUCCGCUGAAGGUGCUGAGACAGCACCACUGGGACUGGGAUGAAAUGGUAGCUGGCACUAACUAAGGAGCAACCUUUACAGUGGAAGAUGUGACCACAGGAGAAUGGCCUGUCGGGGUCCAGGAAAAGGGACUCCCCAAAGCAAGAACUCAGGUCUGUCCCAGCACUGCCCUUGCAGGUCUGUGUGAGAGCAAACCUUUAGCCGGGGUCACAGGUAACUAAGCCCUGUGCAGAUACACCCGGGAACCUCUGUUUUAAAAAUGACCCAUUUGUGUGUGUGGGUGGGUUUCUCCACGUCGGUCAGGCUGGUCUUGAACUCCCAGCCUCAGGUGAUCUACCUACCUCGACCACUCAAAGUGCUGGGAUUACAGGCGUGAGCCACUGUGCUCGGUCCCAUUUCCUUUUUCUUCCUUCCCUCCCCUCUUACCUCUUCAUUCCUUCCCUCCCUAGACACCCCCUCAUCAGUGCUAGCUUAGCUAAUUAUGCCCUUACUUGAGAAAUCCCAGCGGCUAAUCUUGAAACAAUCCAGGCAUAGUGCCCCACUCCUCCCACUUAGGGGGAGUCAUGAACAAUUGGGUCAAAAUCAAGAUAAUACCAACCAGACUCCCGAUGAGCAAUUAGCGAAGGUAGCCAUCAGAACAAGACACGCGAGCCCAGUACCCUGUACCACUCCCGCAUGUCCCCCAUACUAGGUUUCCCUUUAAAACUCUAUAGUACAUUAUAAAAUGUGAGCGAAUACUUUAGAAUGCUAGCUUGCCAUCUUCUGGGUUUGCCGGCUUUGCCUUUCCUCCUAGCAACCCUUGCCUCUGGCUUUGCAGCAGCAAGUGGCUGAACCUGGGUCCAGUUACACAGCCGUGUUCUUGGUGUGCAAAAGAGGCACCAGGCUCUUGAUACCAGCCCCAGCUCCGAAUCAGUGCUUCUGGUGCUAUAGUUCAUCUUUUCUACACUGUCCUAUGCACAGAGCCAGGCUGGUGAGGCUGUGGGAGCGUCCCGGGAUCCUCAACAGUCCCGUUUCUCCUGGUAAAGAAGGACUGCCAUCUUUGUGCAAAGCGCCUCUGCCAUCUCUCAUCCUCCCUCCCCUUCUAAGCGAGAAAACCUGGCUGAAGAGCAGAAGCCUGCUUUCCAGAGCAGCCAUGCCUACAGCCCUCACACCUCUGCCCCUCCCUAACUAGCCUGGACACCUGGGGUGGAGGUGGUGGGGAGAUGGGGGGAGUAUCAAAAUAGAGUUUUUGUCUCUGCAAAGCCAAGGACUGGGGUUGGCCCAGGCACUUUCCUCUGAUGAGGCCCAGCUAUUAGCAGAUUGUUGAUCCUUUUUAUUCUAAAUGUAAGAUUUCAAUUCUACAUAUGCACAAGAAUGUAAUUUGCUUCAUUGAUGUUUUCAAACAUGACAUAAAAUUGCUCAAAGUAUGCCUUUAUAUUUUUAUACCUUACUUAUAAUUUUGUUUCUUUUUAACUCACCCAGCCCCCACUUCCCGUUAGAUUCACCAGAGGUUUUCAUGGUCUUUUCAAAGAACAGACACGCUCACGGCUCAAUACAGGCAAAACCAGGCCACAGCUCACCCUGCCAGGAGAAUCCACACCUACAGAGGGGAUGCCGCCCUCCAGCAGCCCUAAAAGAAAUUUCUUUCAAGAAACUUGGCUUCAUACCCGUGCCAAAGCACUAUGAAGAGAGGUCCUCUUUCGUUCCGUUCAGUGCAGCAGUUGAAAAAGGAAAGGGAGAUUGUGUCCCGCAGUUUGAAAAACACUGACAUAGUAAACCUCAACAAAUGUUUGGUGAGUAAAUGAAUGAUGGAACAAAUACCUGAAUAUUUCUGUCUCAACAUCAGCAAA